AAACCGCUAACGGCAUCGAACUGGCCGAUGCUGGAACCCCCGACGGACCCAAGGGCACCGUUGUGUCCUCUGGAUUUUUCUCCUAUACAUCACCCGAGGGCGUUCCAGUCGAAGUGAAAUACGUCGCCAACGAGAACGGAUUCCAGCCUCAGUCUGACCUGCUUCCAGUGGCUCCCGAAUUCCCCCACCCAAUCCCCCAGUUCGUCCUGGACCAGAUUGCCUUCGCUGCUGAGCAGGACAGGCGUGGCAGUUCUUCAAGAUCUUCAGGAGGAUACAACUAAAACACUUCUCUUCGAUGUUAGGAUGUUAACCGAACGAAUCUAUUUAUUACCUUAUCAAAUAAAUGUUUAAUUGAGCGAA